rnacentral:rRNA from 1 species
AAAUGACUCUCGGCAACGGAUAUCUCGGCUCUCGCAUCGAUGAAGAACGUAGCAAAAUGCGAUACUUGGUGUGAAUUGCAGAAUCCCGUGAACCAUCGAGUUUUUGAACGCAAGUUGCGCCCGAAGCCUUUUGGCCAGGGCACGUCUGCCUGGGCGUCACGC